GCCGAUGUGGAGAGAAUCUAGACGAGAAUGACGGUCCUAUAUAGGUAUGUUAAUGGGAAUGUGUGUUUAACACGCAGAUAGUGUUACAUGACAUUUUACCAGAUGAAGAUGUGUCGCUACCGGUAGAGUACUGGAAGAGUUACGUACUACACGACGAGGGAACGGCUUAUGGAUUGUAUCUAUUCAUGGACAUGGUGCUACUGAAAGGCUGACAAUGCCAGAUGUCAUUUCGAGCCGAGGGGAGGCGAUCGCAAUUGCUGCGGAAACCAAUAACACCAUCCCAAAUAGCAGCUGGCGCCACGGUCCCAUCGUCCACCUGUGUCCUUCGAACGGAAACUUCUGCCGCUGUAAGCUCCGUGGAAGACGACGUGUUAGACCAAAUCGAGUAGAAGGAGUCUUCAGUAUGCGACACUUUAUCGACCUCAUCUUGUAUCCUAUCACACGUCCUGGAGGUCUCGUGCAUCUUUGAAAUUUUCGGUGCCACCGUCAGCAUCGCAAUUAAUUCAGCUCAAUGUAUGCCUUGAUGUAUACCCAACCUGUGAAGCCUGGCAACUUAUACAACCAGCAGGUCCUCCGACUCAGUGCGGUGACUGGACUAGCAUUGGACAAUCGCCUACUGAUGGCCACGAUAAUAUGGAGGACAUCACGAGAAGCCAAUCAGUGAAUUAGUUCAAGUGCGCCGUAAGUAAGGCAGCACUGUAAAUCAGAUACGCUUUUUUUUGAAGGGCGUGUAUGUUUCGUCGCCAAAAUACGCUUGAUUCACCUUACAAUGGGUGAAUGACCCUUUAAGUACUUAUUCAGACAAAAAUGCAGAGUAUGUGGAGGGAGUCAGAAAAUGGAAAGCAACUGCAGUAUUGGAGCUGUGAAGACUGUACAUCAUUACAAAAAUGUACAACCCAAUCCUGUGUUCGUACCCAUGACUCAGUACCUCUCUAUGCUGGAAAGUGUCGUCAUGCUAGAAACCAUUCUUGAACUCCAAGCUAAUGGUUUGGUAAGAGAGUUUGUAAAUGAAGUCUUCCAACAAGUGCUUGAGAAGAAGCUUCCUAAAAAAACUGCAUCUAUGUAAUAUGCCAAACAGCGGAACCAAACAGUGGAAUGAACUACGUUUUUUACUGCGCAAUAAGCUUUUAUUUAAACACCGGUGAAAUGGGAAACUUCAAUAAACAUAGUGAAUUUCCAUGUCAGGACUGCAACAACCGGAAUGAGCCCAAUAUUGAGCCCUCCAGUUAUGAAACCGUCGAGAUGACACUCGGGAGCGGUAAGUUGUCGGCCAAGAAAAAGUGCGAAGACUACGUAGACAUUAAUCGCACCCCGGACAUCAUGCUUACCAACGCAAAGGUACUCCCGCCAAGCUCCAGUCUAGACUGACGGGUUCUUUUUUUUUCUUUUUUGCACAUGACAGCGGCUUAACAUAUGGCACAGCGAUAUGGCAGAACCACACGUCCUUGCAUGGAAAGAGCUCGCUUUGAAAUACAUUCAAUAAAAGAUAUCUUUAUUCUUCCGAAUCACGUGGUUGUCUUUCUGGAGUCGACGGUCAGGGAGCUCGUCUUGCACCCUUGUCGUUGCCUCCUUUCGUCAGUUUUCCCGCAUUCGUUUUUCAGCAGCCGCAGUCGUCUAUAAGCAUGAGCUCCGGCAGGACGCUCUUCGAAGGCGCGCCGAUACGUGGCAGUGUCUGCGUAGCCGUAUCCGUG